rnacentral:rRNA from 1 species
GAAUGUAAUAACGUAAGGGAAAAAAAUGAUAUUACCUUACUAUUAGUGUUGUCCAAAACUGGUGCCAGAAGACUCGGUAAGGCCAGAGACGCAAACGUUAGUCGUCCUAAUCAGGCGUAAAGGGUAUGUAGGCUGUUUUAAAUAUUUUAUUAUUAGCUAUGUAAAUAUUAUUUUUACAAUAAUAAGAUUAAUAAAAACUAGAAUCAAAUUGAGGAUAAAUCAAAUAAUAUCUAGUGUAGGGUUUGAAUCUGACGAUAUUAGAUAGAGUACUAAUGGUGAAAGCUUUUUAUCUAGAAAUGAUUGACGCUGAGAAACGAAGGUGAGAAUAGGAAAUAGGAUUAGAUACCCAGAUACCUCUCACAGUCAACGAUGAAUGGUGGUUGUUAGUUAGUUUAUAUUUAACUGAUAACGAUGUUAACACGAUAACCAUUCCGCCUUGCGAGUACGGUUGCAAAACUGAAACCAAAAAAAUUAGUCGGUCUCGAAGCAAACGAAGUGAAGCAUGUUAUUUAAUUC